ACAUCCUCCUCCUCUCUCUCUCUCUCUCUCUCUCGCACAGAAGCUGAUGAAAACCUUCUCUCUCUCGCACAGAAGCUGAUGAAAACCUUCUCUCUCUCGCACAGAAGCUGAUGAAAACCUUCUCUCUCUCGCACAGAAGCUGAUGAAAACCUUCUGGGAUUGUAAUUUUCUCUUUCGCCGAGAUUUUGAGGAAGAUCACCAUGAACCACCGGAGUGCUAUACACCACUAGAAUCUCCACCAUUCGUUCUCACUGUACACGGUGAGAGAGUCACUAGAAUAUCCACCAUUCGUUCCUUGUUUCACACGGUGAAGCUGACCCUUCACGAGAAUUUGAUUCUUAAUUUAAAAUUUCAGAAAGGAUCUGGAACGAGCGUAUUGAUAAAAACUUAAAAGGGUGCGGUUUAUAUAGGGCCGAGGCUCUAGAUUAUCA
rnacentral:lncRNA from 1 species